rnacentral:lncRNA from 1 species
UCAUCUCAUUUAUUUUCUUACCAACCAAACUUUAUCAUUACUAUCUCGUUGUUGUGCUUCCUCUAAGUCUAUCCAUAUUAUAUAUGCUCAGUCAGUUGAUACCUUGAUUUUCUUCUUCUUAAUUUCAUCAUUGAUAUCUUGGAUUGCUUCCUCUAAGUCUUUCUUUGCCAGAUCUUUCAAGUUCUACUCACUUUCAAGUAAUUUUUCUUUUAAGUCUUAAUAAACACAUUUUUUACUCUUAAUUUACGUUGUUACUCAAAUUUCAUAUUUCACAUUUUUUUUUUAUUUCCUUGGCAGAUCUCAGUUUGGUGGUUUUUUUUACAAAGAUCUUAGUUUGUUUGUUCUCACACUUUCAGGUAAUCUCUUCCUUUGUUAACAACACUUAAUCUUUCAAAUUAUGUUACAUGAUCCGUUAUAGUUAUAGGCCCCG